CAGGAAAAUAAAGGUUCAGUCAUACAUCUUACAAGGACACCGAGGUUACAAUCACCAGGAAUGGCUACACAGCUCAAAACUCUUUUCGCAAGAAAUAAAGGACGCUGGAGAGACAGCCUGGUACAAAUGGAUGUUCUCAAACUUGAAAGGGGUCAGAAAAGAAUUACAGGAUGUUGCCAGGGUCGGAUCGGCUGUUUUCCCUGGACCGUCAGAGGCUGAACGCUUAAUUCCGUCUGAAGGGCUCAGAACAACUGCAUAGUUCCUGGAAAGUGGAGUUUCAGGGAGAUCAGGUGCUGAAUGUGGCAUUUGGGACACUGACCUUUAAUGGAAUGCGCUGGUCAA